rnacentral:rRNA from 1 species
GCGCAAGCGUUAUCCGGAAUUAUUGGGCGUAAAGAGCUCGUAGGCGGUUUGUCGCGUCUGCCGUGAAAGUCCGGGGCUCAACUCCGGAUCUGCGGUGGGUACGGGCAGACUAGAGUGAUGUAGGGGAGACUGGAAUUCCUGGUGUAGCGGUGAAAUGCGCAGAUAUCAGGAGGAACACCGAUGGCGAAGGCAGGUCUCUGGGCAUUAACUGACGCUGAGGAGCGAAAGCAUGGGGAGCGAACAGGAUUAGAUACCCUGGUAGUCCAUGCCGUAAACGUUGGGCACUAGGUGUGGGGGACAUUCCACGUUUUCCGCGCCGUAGCUAACGCAUUAAGUGCCCCGCCUGGGGAGUACGGCCGCAAGGCUAAAACUCAAAGGAAUUGACGGGGGCCCGCACAAGCGGC